GAUGAACGCUGGCGGCGUGCCUAAUACAUGCAAGUCGAGCGAACAGACGAGGAGCUUGCUCUUCUGACGUUAGCGGCGGACGGGUGAGUAACACGUGGAUAACCUACCUAUAAGACUGGGAUAACUUCGGGAAACCGGAGCUAAUACCGGAUAAUAUAUUGAACCGCAUGGUUCAAUAGUGAAAGACGGUCUUGCUGUCACUUAUAGAUGGAUCCGCGCUGCAUUAGCUAGUUGGUAAGGUAACGGCUUACCAAGGCGACGAUGCGUAGCCGACCUGAGAGGGUGAUCGGCCACACUGGAACUGAGACACGGUCCAGACUCCUACGGGAGGCAGCAGUAGGGAAUCUUCCGCAAUGGGCGAAAGCCUGACGGAGCAACGCCGCGUGAGUGAUGAAGGUCUUCGGAUCGUAAAACUCUGUUAUUAGGGAAGAACAAAUGUGUAAGUAACUAUGCACGUCUUGACGGUACCUAAUCAGAAAGCCACGGCUAACUACGUG
rnacentral:rRNA from 1 species